UACGGAGGGAGCUAGCGUUGUUCGGAAUUACUGGGCGUAAAGCGCACGUAGGCGGCUAUUCAAGUCGGGGGUGAAAGCCCGGGGCUCAACCCCGGAACUGCCCUCGAAACUAGGUAGCUAGAAUCUUGGAGAGGCGAGUGGAAUUCCGAGUGUAGAGGUGAAAUUCGUAGAUAUUAGGAGGAACACCGGUGGCGAAGGCGGCUAUCUGGACGACAACUGACGCUGAGGCGCGAAAGCGUGGGGAUCAAACAGG
rnacentral:rRNA from 1 species